UUCCCAACGAAGCCCUAGAAUGCAGAGAGGAAACAACCACUUGCCGUUCUUCUUCGACUUCUUACCCACCGCCGCUCUCCGUCUCGCUCCUCCUCGCCCGAUGUCGGAGAAGAAGCGACGCCGCACCGAAGCGGGCCCCCCGGCGGCCUCCGCCUCGGCCUCCGCAGCCUCGAAGAAGUUGCGGCGGCCGGACUCCCACGCCCAAGGGCUGCGGAAGUUGCUGAAGCCCGACGCCGAGAUCCUCGCCUCCGUCCGCGAGAUGUAUGAUGCUGCCCAGUCGGCCGCCUCCUCCUCCAAGGCCCUCACCCUCUCAGACCUGAGCCUCUCUGCCGCCUGCCGCGAGGUCUCCGACUGCGACGCCGCCUCCGUGCAGCUCGCCAUCGAGCGCGCCGUCCUUGCGAUGGCCCGCUCCAUUCUCGCUGGCCGCGGCUUCUCCUUCGAUGUUCCCUCCCGCUCCGCCUCCAACCAGCUCUACGUCCCCGAGCUGGACCGCAUCGUCCUCCGCGACAAGUCCUCCUCCCGCCCCUUCGCCAGCCUCUCCACCGUCCGCAAGGCCACCAUUACUGCUAGGGUCCUCUCUCUCGUCUACGCCGUCCUUCGUCGCGACAUCCACGUCACCAAGCGCGAUCUCUUCUACACCGACGUCAAGCUCUUCCAGGACCAGUCCCAGUCCGACGCCGUCCUCGACGACGUCUCCUGCAUGCUCGGUUGCACGCGAUCCUCCCUCCACGUCGUUGCCUCCGAGAAGGGCGUCGUAGUCGGCCGCCUGGUCUUCACCGAUGACGGUGAUCGCAUUGACUGCACCAAGAUGGGCAUCGGCGGGAAGGCCAUCCCUCCAAACAUCGACCGCGUCGGCAACCUCGAGAGCGAUGCCCUCUUCAUCCUCCUCGUGGAGAAGGACGCCGCCUUCAUGCGGCUGGCCGAGGACCGCUUCUACAACAGGUUCCCCUGCAUCAUCGUCACAGCCAAGGGCCAACCGGAUGUGGCCACCAGGCUCUUCCUUAGGCGGAUGAAGACCGAGCUCAAGCUGCCGGUCCUCGCGCUGGUCGACAGUGAUCCCUACGGCCUCAAGAUCCUCUCCGUGUACAUGUGUGGAUCAAAGAACAUGUCGUACGACAGUUCAAACUUGACGACGCCGGACAUCAAAUGGCUGGGUGUCCGACCGAGUGAUCUGGACAAGUACAGGGUACCGGAGCAGUGCCGUCUACCCAUGACGGAGCAGGACGUCAAGGCUGGGAAAGACUUGUUGGAGGAGGACUUCGUGAAGAGGAAUGGUGGGUGGGUCAAGGAGCUCGAUAUGAUGGUGAAGACACGGCAAAAGGCUGAGAUACAGGCCCUCAGUUCAUUCGGCUUCCAGUAUCUCACUGAGGUGUAUUUGCCCCUCAAGAUACAGCAGAGGGAUUGGCUAUGAACUUGUCUUCUGAAACCAGCAGUGGGUAACAUUCAAGCAUGGUGGGUACCAAGAUGAUCGUAAAGCAUGAACUCGUACCAUUUCCAGAUACUUAAUUUAAGAUGUAUACAGUUUUAUGAAUCAAAUUAGAUGUCCUUCCUAUGGAUUAAAUCGGCCAUGAGUUGUUCCAAAGAAUGCACAUUGUUGACCAAGCCGCAGUACACCGACUGAGAGUAGAGAGCUUCCAAGCCACGGAUCUGACAAAACAAUCGUCAAUCGUUCAACGCGAUGAGCUGUCUUCUUCUUCUGUCUGCAGUGCCGUCAGAAAAGUAAGUCCGGUCGUCUUGCAAUCUUUUUCUUCUUCUUCUUCUUCUUCUUCUUCUUCCAACCGGAAAACGAAGUGCAGUCAUCUAAUCUUUACUUGUGUUCUUUGUCUUUCCUGCUCCCCUAAUGCGGCUGGUGGAGCCCAUGGAGAUCGCAUCGGGGGGGACAAGCAAUUGAUAGCUUCGGAUUCGGAUUCUCUUGUUCAACAGACAAGAACCGGUCAAUGCUGCCUAACCUUUUACUUCUUAUCCUCUCGCAUGUGCGCUCUGCUUCACCCUCUCCUGUGCUCUUCCAUGGUUUCUUGGAGCUUCUGCCGAGGUGACCAGCCAUGCAACUGAUGUUGAUGUCAAAAUGCUGGACAGACAGCUUGGGAUCAAGGAACACAUCCAUCCAUGCAAGUUUGAACUCCUCCUCAGAGACAAGCAGCCAGUGAAUAUAUAUAUAUAUAUAUAUAUAUAUAUAUAUAUAUAUAUAUGCACAGAAAACAUGGAAUCAAACUGGAAGCUAUGAAUAUAUAAUAUAUAUAUAUAUAUGUGUACAAUAAUGAAUUCAUUUAAUACGGUCAAAAUAUCAUCACAAUAAGAAGAAUUGAAAAGCUCGUGUCCAAUUUUGCUUCCAAAACCAUACAUCAAUCAUCUAUCGACUUGGUGGACUUUAUCAGCUUAUCUCACCAUCAAAAAAGAAAGAAGCUGAGAAGCGCACUGCCGUACAUCAUCGACAGGCAUUCCGAGGCCGACGAAGCUCGAUCCGUCCUCACGAAAACACUCUGCUUACUUGGGUUCUAAUGCAGAUUGAUCUGGAACGGAUGACGCACGUGAUGAAAGAACUACGUAUCAUGUCAAAGCUUCCUGGAUUCUGGAAAUCUACAGUCAGCAGCGUAAUCCAGGACGAGAGUUACCGGUCUCACGUGUGAACGCAUCGCAUCGACCUCGGUGAUCCACAGGAACUGAACUCUCACAUGCGCCUCUCAGGUCAUCAGUUGACUCACUCUUGGAGGUCCUCUGUUGAACCAUUCAAAGCUUCCUCACUGUAACCGUGCGCUGCAAGGAAGCUAAAUCCUCCAUUGCCACCGCUAUAUAUACCGUCACCACAGCUCGGGCGUCUCUCCAUCGACACCAUCUCCACACCCUCCCAUCUGCUACUGGUCUCGUGAGCAAUGGAGUACCAAGUCCCUGAGAACAAGAGGAAGGGAAGGCCUCUGCCGAAGCGAGGCCAGGUUAAAGCCAGGAUCUUCGGAGGCCUACUCCGGGCAGUCAUGCCGAAGGCCUUCACGAACGGGGAGAAGCCCAAACAAGGCGGCGAUGGCUCCACUGCCGACGCCACGCCGACGCUGAGCGGCUAUACUUCGAGCUUCGAGGAUGGUUAGCGGUACCAGAAGGCUCUUCGCCUCCUGUGUACAGCUUCAGGUGCUCGUCCGAGCUCUGCAGGAAAGAGGAAAGAGAUGGAGCGGAAGAGGGGAGCAUCUGCGAGUCGGAUUGCGAUCCUUUUUUUGGUGUGGUUUAGAUCACCACCCCUUUUGAUCAUUCGACUCUAAUUAUAAGAGUCGAUGUCAUGUUUUCGAUGUAAACUCUUUUUGCUUGUGUAAAUGAAUGAAAUCUGUCGAGUUCUUUCUGCAA